rnacentral:misc_RNA from 1 species
AACGCACAUUGCGCUCCCUGGUAUUCCGGGGAGCAUGCCUGUUCGAGCGUCAUUAUCAACCAUCAAGCCCUGCUUGGUAUUGGGUGUCGUCCCUGCUGUGGACGCGCCCUAAAGUAAUCGGCGGCGGUGUUGAACCUCAAGCGUAGUAAAAUCUCCAGCUUUCUAGGUGAAAUAUCGUUCAGCCUCGAGAACCCCCAUUUUCUCAAGGUUGACCUCGGAUCAGGUAGAGAUACCCGCUGAACUUAA